AAAUUGAAGAGUUUGAUCAUGGCUCAGAUUGAACGCUGGCGGCAGGCCUAACACAUGCAAGUCGAACGGUAACAGGAAUCAGCUUGCUGAUUCGCUGACGAGUGGCGGACGGGUGAGUAAUGUCUGGGAAACUGCCUGAUGGAGGGGGAUAACUACUGGAAACGGUAGCUAAUACCGCAUAAUGUCGCAAGACCAAAGAGGGGGACCUUCGGGCCUCUUGCCAUC
rnacentral:rRNA from 1 species